AGUGAACGCUGGCGGCGUGCCUAACACAUGCAAGUCGAACGCGUGGCGCCCGGGUGAGUAAUGUAUAGCUCUUCUGCCCUACACUAGAGGACAACAGUUGGAAACGGCUGCUAAUACUAUAUAUUGUCGGAUGAGGCUAUAUUGUAUCAGCUAGUUGGUGAGGUAAUGGCUCACCCAGGCUAUGACGCAUAACUGGUCUGAGAGGAUGAGCAGUCACACUGGAACUGAGACACGGUCCAGACUCCUUCGGGAGGCAGCAGUAGGGAAUAUUGCUCAAUGGGGGAAGGCCUGAAGCGGCAUCGCCGCGUGGAGGAUGACACUUUUCGGAGCGUAAACUCCUUUUGUUAGGGAAGCGUUACCUAACGAAUAAGCACCGGCUAACUCCGUGCCAGCAGCCGCGGUAAUAC
rnacentral:rRNA from 1 species